UGAAGCACCUGUCCUUAGCAUAGACUGCUACUGGGUCAUUUCAAGUUAGGAACGUUCCUAUAGCAGCCAAUCAGAGAGCCUGAGUCAUGUCACGUGACGUCCACUCCCUCACCUCUGUCGACGCAACUCGGCCACACCUUGCAGUAGCUAUACCAACUAGCUGCUAGUUUAAUAGUUGCUGUCAGCAUUUCAACCCUGUUUUAUGAAGAAAAGAGAGAUGUGGUAGCUAAUGGUAAUCCAUGCCGACUUUUCUUCUCCUCUAGCAGCGACAGCCUGUGAAUAAAAGGAGGUUUACUGCAACCUGAAGAAUUUACCAAGAGCUCUGCUGAAGCAAUGACAGAUGCACGGCCCAUAUUAUGUCUACUGCUCAGGUCGCCCCUGAAACUUUCGGCCCUGGAUGAGAUUAGCAGCACUUGUCAGCGUGCACAAUGCAAAGGAGACUGUACCCGAGGCCACUUUACCCUGAAGCUGGUCUUAACUGUACCUUCUACCAUCACAUCUGCGGAGAGGACAUUUCAAGCGGUAAAGUGCAUAAAGACCUACAGCCGUAACAGAAUGGAACAAGGAGGACUUUUACAACAAAGCUGUUGGCAUCUUUGUCCAGAGGGAUAAGCGCACGGACUUUGUCUGCUAAUAAAAAAACCAAGAUGGCGACAGCCAAAAUGCCGAACUCGAGGCUUCAAAACGGCAGUCCACAAACCAAUGGGUGACAUCACGGUGUUUACGUCGACAGCAGAGAAGUGACACUUUGUAUAUUUAUAAUAUAAUGUGUGACCCCUUUUGACCAUAACAAUGGUGUACAAACUGAUAAGUGUUGGCAGAGACUCUCUCUUUGGUUAUUUCUGUGUCUGUUGGUCACAACUGAAGAAUGACAGGACUGCAGAAUAAAGAAAAUAAGAAACAAAAGGAGGGAGGGUGAGUGAACGUGCCCCAUUAGGAAAGAAGAGCAUUUUCUUAUUGGUCCCAGCGACCUGAGGAUGGACCCAUGCCUGCACUGAUUGGAGUGAAUUUUCUGCCGAGCUAUCAACAGCACAGCCGUCGGAAAAUAGGAAAAUAAAGCAGGACAAUCUCC